AUGUCCUCAGUAGAUACAAUUUUUUAAACCACGGAUCUGUAGUGAAGGUGACAGUGGUGGGUCACCAAGGGUCCUUGGUCAAUGACCACGGUCAGUAACAAUAAAGAUGUGUUCGGAAAUAUCUUCUCGCUCUCUGCCGGUUUGUGUUAAUCUUCAUCGGCUUGGACAGAAAAGCCUUAACUAGUUUAGCAAGAGAAGGGUUCUCUGCUUUUGUCCUGGAUUGCCCCUAGCUGUUGUUUCUAAGUUCUGAGAGUUCAGUUACCAUGGCAACUGUGUGAGGGAGCCCCAGAGAGAGCUGUUUGUUAACUUUGAACAGGGUGAGUCUGGAAGGAGGCAGGGAAGCUCGGAAAGAGGUUGGUGUGACCCAUUCAUUCAUUCUCCUGGCACUGGGGAUACCCGUGUGGACAAGACUGACAAAAGCCUAGCAAGACUGACGGAUGGUUAAGAGUCAGGUAGAUCUCUCUUCAACUGCCAGCCCUGCCUCCUAAUAGCGGGGAGACGUCUGUCUACCGGCCUGGGGACUGAGCCUCCCUGAACUUCCUCUGAGAAAUGGAGCUAUUCACAUCUGCUUUGCAGGGGCUGAGAUAACUCCUGCAGGCGACUGGACCUAGAGGCUGCGCUCUGGCUCUGACCCACGCAGCAGAGACAAAGGCUACCUCCGAAAUGGACAGCAGGCACUCAGUGACAGCUAGCAGUGAAGUCUUUUCAAGAUGUAAAUCCCCGCGAAGUUUGCCAGAAUCUAGUCGACACCCCCGUGUGCUUUCAUCCACUGCCGAUUCUUUGCCAUUUCGAACCUCAUGUAAUCUCUACACCCAGUGUGGGGCUUGAACUCAC